rnacentral:tmRNA from 1 species
GGGGGUGCCUGGUUUUGACAGCAUAGAUCUUUGAAGGUGUAAGCAUGUCGUGCGUUGGAUAAUUAGCACGUUAAUCUGAAUAUUCAAACUUCAAAUGGCAAUACUCAGUAUGCCAUGGCUGCCUAAUCAGUGAUUAGAUAGUCAUUUGGGCCGUGCUGGCCGGUUCGCCCGUUACCACGCUGCACCGCCGACUCAACACAAACACGGGAUGCUGCAACAGAAGGCUGUGCCUGUUGCUUAAGCCCAUUCAGCUAAGGAGGAGGUUGGUUUGUCCGGCCCCGGCCGCCUCCCGACAAUCAAUGCCGGAAUAAACAUGUAGAAAGCUUUUGGCGAUUAUGUUUGGACAGGGGUUCGAGUCCCCUCACCUCCACCA